AAAAAGACAAACCCUGAGUUUCCGUGUCCAACUUCUGUCUUAUAUGAAAUUUUUUUAUAAUUCGUAUUUUUAUUGUUGUUAGAUGAUAAAACAUGAUUAAUACUUUGUGCGUGACUUGUCUUUUUUAAUUUUUUUUAUAUUUUUUUCAAAUAAGACGGACGGUUAAACAUUGGGCACGGAAAUCAGGUUUGUUUAAC
rfam:Oryza glumipatula chromosome 5, whole genome shotgun sequence.